AAUCCUACGGGAGGCAGCCGUGAGGAAUAUUGGUCAAUGGUCGGGAGACUGAACCAGCCAAGCCGCGUGAGGGAUGAAGGUACAGAGUAUCGUAAACCUCUUUUGUCAGGGAACAAAGGCGGGGACGUGUCCCCGGAUGAGUGUACCUGAAGAAAAAGCAUCGGCUAACUCCGUGCCAGCAGCCGCGGUAAUACGAAGGAUGCGAGCGUUAUCCGGAUUUAUUGGGUUUAAAAGGUGCGCAGGCGGUCUGUUAAGUCAGCGGUCAAAGCCCGGGGCUCCACCCCGGCCCCCCGUUGAAACUUGCG
rnacentral:rRNA from 1 species